rnacentral:lncRNA from 1 species
UCUAGUCAACGGGAGAACCCAGCGCCACUCGCUGACGCCGAUCCCGCUCCUCAUCUUCUCCGGCAGUCGUCGUCGUCGUAGUCGGCGGCCGGCGGCGGCGAGCGUGUGCGUUGUCCGGAGAUGCUGACCUAACCCAUUCCCCGGCGUCUCUUUCUCUCUCUAGGGGAGCCCUCAUGGGCACCAGAGCCGCCCCUCUCCUUCGAGGCCCCGACGUGGAAUCCAGCUGCCGCGGCC